GAGAGCAAGAACAGCCCGCAGGUCCCGAGGCGCUUGCAGGGGACUCUGCCGCGGAAAGUUCCCAGUCCCCAGCCGCAGGUAAUGGGCAGGGAAUAAGAGAGGUUCCCCUGUUUGCAUCAGCAAAUACGAAAACAUAAUAGCAACAGCUGCGGUAGCCUCUCCAAGGAGCGGGGUUUCCAGUGACGCUAACAUUCUUUUUUUCCUUUAAGGUGUUUUCCCUCCUGCUGAUCGUGGAAAGAAAUCACCAAGAAGAGGGGAAAGUUGCCCCGGGGCCGGUAGUCAUGUAGGGGUUACCAAAGCAAGGGACUCUGGCAGAGAUGCGCGCGGACAAUUUAAAUGCCGGCAUAAAAUGGCAUGUGUCAAUCAAAGCUAGAGGGUCAGAAGGGGAGGUGUGGGGAGGAUAGACCAGGCUGCAAAGGGAGUGCGGAGGUGAAUUCCCCCUAAAGCGGAGGGAUUCAGACCAAGGGACUUGGGGCGACAGCUCCUAUAGACGGGCAGAUGGUUGAACGUCUACCCAUCUAAUGUCUACCCACAAAAUGCUUGGUUACUAAAUUAACUCGUUUGGGGACAUUGCUUCGAACUGUGAGUACCCCAGUCAAGGACUGGGGGCUUCUUUGUAGUUUAUGCAUGGGAGCCCGCCAUCGUUAAACCCACUCUAGGGCACCGGAUCCAGCACCACCCAUCACAGCGAGGCGCUAGCAAUAUCCCUGCGCCUCGCCUGGCCCCGCGCCAGGCAGCAGUGGCGAGCGCGGGCUUUUCUUUUCUUUUCUUCUUUUGCCUGAUUUCUGUUUUAAUUAUUUAUUUUUCUUUUACCCUUGGUGAUCCAUCCCUGCCUCCAUAACUAGAGGGGGUGUGGGAAGAAGGUACAUGCCCAGCCCGAAGACAGCUCUCUGGAGAAUGACCGUGGGGUGGCCGCGAGGGCGGGCGGGGCGGUGCACACGCACACGGGGGAUAGAGUGUGCACCGCUGCGGGAAUCCACCGGCACGUUUGCACAUUCCUGGUGCUGGCCCUCGUCCUCGCUGGCUGGCCACAAGCUGAGUUCGGUGCGAAUCCCUGGGGAGCAGUCCGGGGAUUCUGAGCCGCGCGCCUGACUAGCCACGGGUAUCCACACGCCCAGUUCCCGGGAAGUUAUAAGGCGGCGGGAACGAACUCUCCGCUGCUGGGAGAGCCCGCUGAAUGCCUGUCCUUCAAGGAUAAAUAUCGAAGAAUACGUUUUAAUACUUAUCAACGUGCUGCCCGCAAGGAAUAGGUUGUUUAUUUUCCGGAGGAGCCGUUUAAGCCAAAGACUAGAAUGACUCCCUAGAGGCUUCCCGGUAAUGAAUGACCCAGGAGUAACGCUACAGCAACCGAAGGGAAGGAAUGGUACCACCCCUCCCCCUAUACUGCCCUCCCCUCCCACCCCCCACCCCGCCCGCAAGGUACGCUACAGUGCCUUCUGGAAAGAAAUUAGGAGUGCGCGUCCCCACGCGUGAUUGACAGCGAGGCGUGCUCGGACCACUCGGGAGAGUCCGUGUUUAACGGCCUGUUCCCCUACCCCUACCACUUGCCUCUUGCGGAGAGAUGGGUUCUACCUUUAAGAGGGUAGGUGGAAAAGGAGCCAGCAAACAUGGCUAAGCCUUUUCCAGCUGCAUUGAAUUGACCAUCCGCCAAAACCAAACCGCUACAGUUUAAAAUGAUUUUAGCGUCACGUCUGCGGCGGAGAAUGAAGCGGCAGAGCAGAAAAAGGACCUGUGGAUCAAUGAAAAGGGGCUCAGAGUGUAUCCGAAUAUUAAUACACUGUGGCCAUCUGUGCUUCCCGCCCCUCCCCCUCCCUUCAGAGCUACAACAUUAAAAUGCAAUUUUUCUAGCACCCCAAGCUGACUCAUCCGAAACCCUGGGCCUUUAAAAAAAAAUCCAAACAC
rnacentral:lncRNA from 1 species